AACAUAUAUGUUAAACAACAACAACAAAAAAGACAACAAUUGAACAAGGAGGAGAGAAAAGUAAGCAAAUACCUGUAGCAAGUUUUCGUUGUUUCAUUAGUUCUCUCUCUCUCUUUUUCUCUC
rnacentral:ribozyme from 14 species